GGAGGAAAAGAAACUAACAAGGAUUCCCCUAGUAACGGCGAGUGAACCGGGAAGAGCUCAAAUUUGAAAUCUGGCGUCCUCAGGGCGUCCGAGUUGUAAUCUAUAGAGGCGUUUUCCGUGCCGGACCGUGUCCAAGUUCCUUGGAACAGGAUAUCAAAGAGGGUGACAAUCCCGUACUUGACACGACGACCGGUGCUCUGUGAUACGUCUUCUACGAGUCGAGUUGUUUGGGAAUGCAGCUCAAAAUGGGUGGUGAGUUCCAUCUAAAGCUAAAUAUUGGCGAGAGACCGAUAGCGAACAAGUACCGUGAGGGAAAGAUGAAAAGCACUUUGGAAAGAGAGUUAAACAGUACGUGAAAUUGUUGAAAGGGAAACGAUUGAAGUCAGUCGUGACCGAGAGGCUCAGCCGGUUCUGCCGGUGUAUUCCCCUCGGUCGGGUCAACAUCAGUUUUGUCCGGUGGAUAAGGGCAGUAGGAAGGUGGCACCCUCGGGUGUGUUAUAGCCUGCCGUCGCAUACAUCGGGUGAGACUGAGGAACGCAGCUCGCCUUUAUGGCCGGGGUUCGCCCACGUCCGAGCUUAGGAUGUUGACAUAAUGGCUUUAAACGA
rnacentral:rRNA from 1 species